CACCAUUUAGAUAGCAUUGGCUCGCCGCAGAGACGUCGCCGGCUCGCCACCAUGAGCUACAGAGGUGGCGGGAGCAGCGAAGGGGCCGAGCGCUGUCGUAUGUCGUGCGGCGGCCACACCGCAGGUAGCCACUCACGGCAACUACGCGCACGCACGCACCGGCCGCCGUCGCGCCGCGAGCUUCGCCUGGCUGUGCACUGCCGCAACCACACGUGAGUUCUUCCGACACGCACCGCCCACAGUCGACCUGCGAGCCACACAUGCACCGCCGCGAAGCGCUGCUUGAUCCCCUCCAUGGACUCGUGCUCGCCAUCGCAGUCCGUCGCCCUGGCCACGGAGAGGGCCAAGAUCCAUGGAGCUGCUCGUGGGGUGAGCAUAUCGUCCUCGUGCUCCUCAAUUCUGCUGGGGUAUCGUUUGGGCUGGGUGGCAGAGAUGGCAAAUUCCUCCUCGGGUGUCUUAG
rnacentral:rRNA from 1 species